GACCCCGUAGCUCAGCCUGGAGAGAGCGCGGGAUUCCUAAUCCCGAGGUCGUGAGUUCGAGUCUCACCGGGGUCA
rnacentral:tRNA from 1 species